rnacentral:rRNA from 1 species
GACCAAGUUGCCAAAGAGCGUACGGCGGAUGUCUUGGCGUUGAGAGGCGAUGAAGGACGUGGGAACCUGCGAUAAGCCCAGGGAAGCUGGUAACCGAGCGAUGAUCCUGGGGUCUCCGAAUGGGGAAACCCGACUCGUUUUUACGGGUCACCUGCACCUGAAUGCAUAGGGUGCAGGAGCGAACCUGGUGAACUGAAACAUCUCAGUAACCAGAGGAAUAGAAAGCAAACGCGAUUCCGUAAGUAGCGGCGAGCGAAAGCGGAACAGCCCAAACCGGGCUUCGGCCCGGGGUUGCGGACGCCGAUGUGGCACACUGGAGUGAACUGUGAACCGUGCAGGAAAGCCGGACCAAAGAAGGUGAUAGUCCUGUAGCAGAAUGCAACGGUGGCCUAGGCGCACCAGAGUAGCAUGGAGCUCGUGAAACUCCGUGUGAAGCUGGGGGGUCCACCCUCCAAGGCUAAAUACUACUCAACGACCGAUAGUGAAUCAGUAAGGUGACUGAAUGAUGAAAAGCACCCCGAUAAGGGGAGUGAAAAGUACCUGAAACCGUAUGCUUACAAGCUGUGGGAGCCCGGGCUUGCUCGGGUGACCGCGUGCCUUUUGCAUAAUGAGCCGACGAGUUGCUUUCUGCGGCAAGGCUAAGCUGAAUCCCAGCGGAGCCGAAGGGAAACCGAGUCUUAAAAGGGCGCUGAGUCGCAGGGGGCAGACGCGAAACCGAGUGAUCUACCCAUGGGCAGGUUGAAGAGGGGGUAACACCCCUUGGAGGACCGAACACACCAACGUUGAAAAGUUGGGUGAUGACCUGUGGGGAGGAGUAAAAGUCUAAUCAUACUCGGAGAUAUCUCGUUCUCCUCGAAAUAGCUUUAGGGCUAGCCUCACGUUACACCGCGCGGGGGUAGAGCUACUGGAUGGGGAUGGGGGGCCACAAGCCUACCCACCUCAACCAAACUCCGAAUACCGCGCGGCCUUGUCGUGGGAGUCAGUCCACGGGAGAUAAUUUCCGUGGUCAAAAGGGAAAGAGCCCAGACCGCCAGUUAAGGCCCCAGAACAGUUCUAAGUUUCGAAGGUAGUUGGAUUGCCGUGACAGCCAGGAUGUUGGCUUAGAAGCAGCCACCAUUUAAAGAGUGCGUAACAGCUCACUGGUCAAGGAAUCCAGCGCCGAAAAUGAUCGGGAAUCAAGGACUGUGCCGAAACUGCGGAUCCGCCUUCGGGCGGAUGGUAGAGGAGCGUUCCUGUCGGCUGUGAAGUUUCGACGGAAGUCGGGAUGGAGCGGCAGGAAGUGAAUAUGUCGGCUUGAGUAACGAUAAACGGAGUGAGAAUCUCCGUCGCCGAAAGCCUAAGGUUUCCUGGGGAAGGUAAAUCCGCCCAGGGUUAGGCGGGUCCUAAGGCGAGGCCGAAAGGCGUAGUCGAUGGAUAGCAGGUCAACAUUCCUGCCCUUCCAUGUGCGGUUGAUCCGGCGUGACGGAUUUUGAAGCUCAACGGGACAGUGAAGCGUCCAGGCCCUUGAGGCCGAUGUUGGGUGGAAAGGUCCCACGAAAAACCGUCCGGUGACAAUCAUGGAACCCGUACCGCAAACUGACACAGGUAGGCUUGGCGAAUAGCCUCAGGCGCUCGAGAAAACGGUUGUGAAGGAACUAGGCAAAUUCACCCCGUAAGUUCGCAAGAAGGGGGCCCUCCUGGAAACAGAGGGCGCAGAGAAUAGGCCCUGGCGACUGUUUAUCAAAAACACAGCACUGUGCCAACUCGCAAGAGGACGUAUACAGUGUGACACCUGCCCGGUGCCGGAACGUCAAGGGAGCAGGUUAUUCCCUUCGGGGGAGAAGCUUGCGACUGAAGCGCCGGUAAACGGCGGCCGUAACUAUGAACCGAUCGUAGUUAUAAAAUUCGGCUAAAUGCUGGAAACCCUGAGUAUCCGACGGUACUCGCCUGAUCCCUGCCACCCGGUGGCACACAGGCAGUGACAAUCCGUUCGGUGCAGACAAUCAGCAGGAAAGGCCAUCGCUCGAUGCUCAAUGUCCCCAGAAUUCCUGAUCGUAUCGGUUACUACUUUGCCGGCUUCGUGGAUGGCGAAGGGAGCUUUCACCUCAGCUUCCGUCGUCGUCGUGACUACACGCUGCCAUGGAAGGUGUCGUUGUGCCUGAACGUGUCCCAGAAGGACAAAGUCGUUCUGGCACUCUUCAAACGACAUCUGAAGUGCGGCACGAUUCGCUACAAGAGCGACGACGUCUGGAUGUUUGAGGUCAACAACCUCAAUGCCAUUCACGAGAACGUCAUUCCUUUCUUCAGACGGUUCGGCUUUCUGUCAGCCAAGAAGAAACGCGACUUCGCGAUCUUCCGGCGGAUGGCCGAACUCAUGAAGGAGAAAGCUCACCUGGACAAGCCAGGAAUCGUCGAGUUGUUGAAACUUCGGCGAGAGAUGAAUGACGGCGGCAAACGCAAGUACACCGAACAGGAGAUUCUGGCAGCAUUCGAUGCGGUGGAAUCCUCAGAGACUACACGC